rnacentral:rRNA from 1 species
GUAGUCUCGCACAGAUGCAUAUCAAUAAGCGGAGGAAAAGAAACUAACAAGGAUUCCCCUAGUAACGGCGAGUGAAGCGGGAAGAGCUCAAAUUUGAAAUCUUAAAGGGUUUCCCUUUACGAAUUGUAGUUUAAAGAAGUGUUUUCUGUUGAGGUUUUGGUAAAAGUUCUUUGGAAUAGGACAUCAUAGAGGGUGAGAAUCCCGUAUUUGACCUUUACUUUCAACUUUGUGAUACACUUUCAAAGAGUCGGAUUGUUUGGGAAUGCAGUCCAAAAUGGGUGGUAAAUUUCAUCUAAAGCUAAAUAUUGGCGAGAGACCGAUAGCGAACAAGUACCGUGAGGGAAAGAUGAAAAGAACUUUGAAAAGAGAGUUAAACAGUACGUGAAAUUGUCAAAAGGGAAGCGUUUGACACCAGUGUUGUUUUUCUGAAAAUCAAUUAAAGAACUGUUUAUGCUAAGCUGUUUAGACUUUAUCAGCUAACUGUUUAGUUUUGAGCUUUUCUUUAAUGCACUUUUCAGUUAACAAGUCAACAUCAAUUUCUUUUGCUGUAAAAAAGCUUGAGGAAGGUGGCUUGAGAUUCGUCUUAAGUGUUUAUAGCCUCUUGCCUAUGCAGUCGGAGAGAUUGAGGUCUGCAGCGUAGAAUCCUUCGGGGCUAAAUGCAUUUGUGCUAAGUUAUAGCAUUUUAUAGACAACUUGUUGACUAUGAUUUGUCUUGUAGCUUACUCGCUUAUGUUAUUUUACCUACGCUUAGGAUGUUGACGCAUGAGAUAUACGC